rnacentral:rRNA from 1 species
AGCAGCCGCGGUAAUACGAAGGGACCUAGCGUAGUUCGGAAUUACUGGGCUUAAAGAGUUCGUAGGUGGUUAAAAAAGUUGGUGGUGAAAUCCCAGAGCUUAACUCUGGAACUGCCAUCAAAACUUUUUAGCUAGAGUAUGAUAGAGGAAAGCAGAAUUUCUAGUGUAGAGGUGAAAUUCGUAGAUAUUAGAAAGAAUACCAAUUGCGAAGGCAGCUUUCUGGAUCAUUACUGACACUGAGGAACGAAAGCAUGGGUAGCGAAGAGGAUUAGAUACCCUCGUAGUCCAUGCCGUAAACGAUGUGUGUUAGACGUUGGAAAUUUAUUUUCAGUGUCACAGUGAAAACAAUAAACACACCGCCUGGGGAGUACGACCGCAAGGUUAAAACUCAAAUGAAUUGACGGGGACCCGCACAAGUAGUGGAGCAUGUGGUUUAAUUCGAAGAUACGCGCAGAACCUUACCAACACUUGACAUGUUCGUCGCGACUCUAAGAGAUUAGAGUUUUCGGUUCGGCCGGACGAAACACAGGUGCUGCAUGGCUGUCGUCAGCUCGUGUCGUGAGAUGUUGGGUUAAGUCCCGCAACGAGCGCAACCCUUACUUUUAGUUGCCAUCAUUUAGUUGGGCACUCUGAAAGAACUGCCAGUGAUAAGCUGGAGGAAGGUGGGGAUGACGUCAAGUCCUCAUGGCCCUUACGUGUUGGGCUACACACGUGCUACAAUGGUAUCUACAACAGGAAGCAAGAUGGCAACAUUAAGCAAAUCCUAAAAAGAUACCUCAGUUCGGAUUGCACUCUGCAACUCGAGUGCAUGAAGCUGGAAUUACUAGUAAUCGCGGAUCAGCGUGCCGCGGUGAAUACGUUCCCGGGUCUUGCACACACCGCCCGU